GGAAUCCCUUAUAUAAUAAAGAAAUGAAAGUUUCGUUCUAAGAAGUUUAUAUCACGCACGAUGGUAGUAGCUGAGGUUAAAACUUAGCUAGCUUAAAGUGCGUAGUCGAAACUGAAAGGUUGAUCGAUCACAAUGGGCCUGAACAAAGCCCAUGAUGGAAAUUACAGCAGUGAGGAAUAUUGGUCAAUAGCCUAACGGCUGAACCAGCAACUUGGAGGAAUGUAUAGCAAUAGCUAACUGCACUAAAAAUUUUAGUGUAAAAUCGACUAUGUUGAAUAAAAUUCUGGGUAGUACUAUGAUAAUGACAUUACAUAUUCAUAAGUCUUGACCAAAUUACGUGCCAGCAGUCGCGGUAAUACGUAGAAGACAAGUGUUAUUCAUCUUUAAUAGGUUUAAAGCGUACUUAGACGGUAAAUCAAGCCUCCAAAGGGACUAAUUUGCUAGAGUUUUAUGUGAGAAAGUAUUAAAGUACUGUUGGUGUAGAGAUGAAAUUCUGUCAUACCUUAGAAUGGCACAGGUUAUGGCGAAAGCAUCUUUUUAUGUAAAAACUGACGUUGAAGGACGAAGGCUUUGUGUCUCGAACAGGAUUAGAUACCCUAGUAGUCUAAGCAGACAAUGAUGAAUGUCAUAGAUUAGAUGUAAUUUGAUCUAUAAAUGAAAGUGUAAGCAUUCCACCUCAAGAGUAAUUUGGCAACAUUGGAACUGAAAUCAUUAGACCGUUUCUGAAACCAGUAGUGAUGUAUGUUGUUUAAUUUGAUAAUCCGCAAAAAACCUUACCACCCUAAAGUGAGUUUUUAUUAUUUUUAAUAAUAAAAAAAUUAUGUGAAUAGAUAUAUUUUAUCAUACAAGCGUUGCACGGCUGUCUUUAGUUAAUGUCGUGAGACUUUGGUUAGUUCCAUAAAAUUAACGUAAACCCUUACUUUAUUUUAAAAUAAAGUAGCUCACCGCUAUAUUGGAUGUGAUAACAGGG
rnacentral:rRNA from 1 species